rnacentral:lncRNA from 1 species
GUCUCUGUAUCGCUGACAAAGUGUGCUGUCUCUGUAUCACUGGCAGAGGGUGAUGUCUCUGUAUCGCUGACAAAGUGUGCUGUCUCUGUAUCACUGGCAGAGGGUGCUGUCUCUGUAUCGCUGACAAAGUGUGCUGUCUCUGUAUCGCUGGCAGAGGGUUCUGUCUCUGUAUUGCUUGAAGGGUGUGCUUUCAUUGUAUUGCUUGCAGAGUGUGCUGUCUCUGUAUUAAUGCCAGAGUGUACUGUCUCUGUAUUGCUUGUAGGGUGUGCUGUCUCUGUAUCACCUGCAGAUAACACUGCCUCUGUAUUGGUAGCAGAGGGUGCUGUCUCUGAAUUGCUGACAUAGUGUGCUGUCUCUGUAUCACAGGAAGAGGGUGCUGUCUCUAUAUUGCUGGCAGAGUGUGCUGUCUCUGUAUUGCUGGCAGAAUGUGCUGUCUCUGUAUCACUUGCAAAAUAAGACAUCUCUGUAUUGCUGGCAGAGUGUGCUGUUUCAUUAUCACUUGCAGAAUGCGCUCUCUCUGUAUUGUUGGCAGAGUGUGCUGUCUCUGUAUUGCUGACAGAUUGUGCUGUCUCUUUAUCACUGGCAGAGGGUGCUAUCUCAGUAUCACUGGCAGAAGGUUCUGUCUCUGUGUCACUGGCAGAGGGUUCUGUCUCUGUGUCACUGGCAGAUAGUGCUGUCUCUGUAUCGCUGGCAGAGGGUGAUGUCUCUGUAUCGCUGACAAAGUGUGCUGUCUCUGUAUCACUGGCAGAGGGUGAUGUCUCUGUAUCGCUGACAAAGUGUGCUGUCUCUGUAUCACUGGCAGAGGGUGCUGUCUCUGUAUCGCUGACAAAGUGUGCUGUCUCUGUAUCGCUGGCAGAGGGUUCUGUCUCUGUAUUGCUUGUAGGGUGUGCUUUCAUUGUAUUGCUUGCAGAGUGUGCUGUCUCUGUAUUAAUGCCAGAGUGUACUGUCUCUGUAUUGCUUGUAGGGUGUGCUGUCUCUGUAUCACCUGCAGAUAACACUGCCUCUGUAUUGGUAGCAGAGGGUGCUGUCUCUGAAUUGCUGACAUAGUGUGCUGUCUCUGUAUCACAGGAAGAGGGUGCUGUCUCUAUAUUGCUGGCAGAGUGUGCUGUCUCUGUAUUGCUGGCAGAAUGUGCUGUCUCUGUAUCACUUGCAAAAUAAGACAUCUCUGUAUUGCUGGCAGAGUGUGCUGUUUCAUUAUCACUUGCAGAAUGCGCUCUCUCUGUAUCACUUCCAGUGUGUGCUGUCUCUGUGUUGCUAUCAGAGUGUGCUUUCUCUGUACAACCUGCAUAGUGUGCUGUCUCUGUGUUGCUAUCAGAGUGUGCUGUCUCUGUACAACCUGCAUAGUGUGCUGUCUCUGUCUUGCUUGUAGAGUGUGCUGUCUCUGUUCUAAUAGCAGAGUGUGCUGUCUCUGUAUUACGUGCAGGAUGUUCUGUCUCUGUAUCACCUGCAGAGUGUGCUGUCUCUGUAUUGCUGGCAGAGUGCGCUGUCUCUGUUUUAAAGGCAGAGUGUGCUGUCUCUGUAUCUCCUACAGAGUGUGCUGUAUCUUUAUUGCUGACAGAGUGUCCUGUCUCUGUACUGCUUGCAGAGUGUGCUGUCUCUGUAUUACUUCCAGAGAGUGCUGUCACUGUAUCGCCGGCAGAGUGUGCUGUCUCUGUAUCACUUGCAGAAUGAGAUGUCUCUGUAUUGCUAGCAGAGGGUGCUGUCUCUGUAUCACCUGCAGAGUGUGCUGUCUCUGUAUAGCUAGCAGAGUGUGCUGUCUCUGUAUUGCUGACAGAAUGGGCUGUCUCUGUAUUGUUGGCAGAGUUUGCUGUCUCUGUAUUGCAGACAGAGUGUGCUGUCUGUGUAUUCCUUGCAGAUAGCGCUGUCUCUGUAUUGUUGGCAGAGUGUGCUGUCUCUGUAUAGCUAGCAGAGUGUACUCUCUCUGUAUUGCUGGCAGAAUGGGCUGUCUCUGUAUUGUUGGCAGAGUUUGCUGUCUCUGCAUUGUUGGCAGAGUGUGCUGUCUCUGUAUAGCUAGCAGAGUGUGCUAUCUCUGUAUUGCUGGCAGAAUGGGCUGUCUCUGUAUCACUUGCAGAGUGUGCUGUCUCUGUAUUGCUGUCAGAGUGUGCUGUCUCUGUAUAACUUGCAUAGUGUGUUGUCUCUGUCUUGCUUGUAGAGUGUGCUGUUUCUGUUUUAAUGGCAGAAUGUGUUGUCGCUGUAUUACUUGCAGUAUGUUCUGUCUCUGUGUCACCAGCAGAUUUUGCUGUCUCUGUAUUACUGGCAGAGUGCGCUGUCUCUGUUUUAAAGGCAGAGUGUGCUGUAUCUGUAUCUCCUUCACAGUGUCCUGUAUCUUUAUUGCUGGCAGAGUGUCCUGUCUUUGUAUUGCUUGCAGAGUGUGCUGUCUCUGUAUUGCUUGCAGAGUGUCCUGUCUCUGUAUUGCUUGCAGAGAGUGCCAUCUCUGUAUUGCUUGCAGAGAGUGCUGUCUCUGUAUUGCUUGCAGAGUGUGCUGUCUCUGUAUUGCUUGCAGAGUGUCCUGUCUCUGUAUUGCUUGCAGAGAGUGCCAUCUCUGUAUUGCUUGCAGAGAGUGCUGUCUCUGUAUUGCUUGCAGAGUGUGCUGUCUCUGUAUUGCUUGCAGAGUGUCCUGUCUCUGUAUUGCUUGCAGAGAGUGCCAUCUCUGUAUUGCUUGCAGAGAGUGCUGUCUCUGUAUUGCUUGCAGAGUGUGCUGUCUCUGUAUU